GCCGCGGUAAUACGAAGGGACCUAGCGUAGUUCGGAAUUACUGGGCGUAAAGCGCGCGUAGGCGGUUAUGUAAGUUAAUUGUGAAAGCCCAAAGCUCAACUUUGGAACUGCAAUUAAAACUAUUUAGCUAGAGUUUGAUAGAGGAAAGCGGAAUACAUAGUGUAGAGGUGAAAUUCGUAGAUAUUAUGUAGAACACCAGUUGCGAAGGCGGCUUUCUGGGGUAACACUGACGCUGAGGUGCGAAAGUAUGGGUAGCGAAGAGGAUUAGAUACCCUCGUAGUCCAUACUGUAAACGAUGAUUGUUAGAUGUUGGAAAUUUAUUUUCAGUAUCACAGCUAACGCGUUAAACAAUCCGCCUGGGGAGUACGACCGCAAGGUUAAAACUCAAAUGAAUUGACGGGGACCCGCACAAGCGGUGGAGCAUGUGGUUUAAUUCGAAGCUACGCGCAGAACCUUACCAACACUUGACAUGUCUGUCGCGGAAUCCAGAGAUGGAUUCUUUCGGUUCGGCCGGACAGAACACAGGUGCUGCAUGGCUGUCGUCAGCUCGUGUCGUGAGAUGUUGGGUUAAGUCCCGCAACGAGCGCAACCCCUACUUCUAGUUGCCAUCAGGUUAAGCUGGGCACUCUAGUAGGACUGCCUGUGAUAAGCAGGAGGAAGGUUGGGAUGACGUCAAGUCCUCAUGGCCCUUACGUGUUGGGCUACACAC
rnacentral:rRNA from 1 species